rnacentral:rRNA from 1 species
UACGUAGGGGGCAAGCGUUGUCCGGAUUUAUUGGGCGUAAAGAGCGUGUAGGCGGCCAGGUAGGUCCGUUGUGAAAACUCGAGGCUCAACCUCGAGACGUCGAUGGAAACCAUCUGGCUAGAGUCCGGAAGAGGAGAGUGGAGUUCCUGGUGUAGCGGUGAAAUGCGCAGAUAUCGGGAAGAACACCGAUGGCGAAGGCAAUCCCCUGGGCCUGCACUGACGCUCAUGCACGAAAGCGUGGGGAGCAAACAGG